AUUGAACGCUGGCGGCAGGCCUAACACAUGCAAGUCGAACGAGUGGCGGACGGGUGAGUAAUGUCUGGGAAACUGCCCGAUGGAGGGGGAUAACUACUGGAAACGGUAGCUAAUACCGCAUACCAUCGGAUGUGCCCAGAUGGUAUUAGCUAGUAGGGGGGUUAACGGCUCACCUCGGCGACGAUCCCUAGCUGGUCUGAGAGGAUGACCGACAAAACGGGAACUGAGAAACGGUCCAGACUCCUACGGGAGGCAGCGGUGGGGAAUAUUGCACACUGGGGGCAAGCCGGAUGCAGCCAUGCCGCGGGUAUGAAGAAGGCCUUCGGGUUGUAAAGUACUUUCAGCGAGGAGGCGUUACUCGCAGAAGAAGCACCGGCUAACUCCGUGCCAGCAGCCGCGGUAAUAC
rnacentral:rRNA from 1 species